GGCGUAGUUCUUAGUGAGGUUGACGCUGAUAAUGUCAAUUUUGUAGUUUACCAGACUACCUAUGUCU
rnacentral:tRNA from 1 species